AUUGAACGCUGGCGGCAGGCCUAACACAUGCAAGUCGAACGAGUGGCGGACGGGUGAGUAAUGUCUGGGAAACUGCCUGAUGGAGGGGGAUAACUACUGGAAACGGUAGCUAAUACCGCAUACCAUCAGAUGUGCCCAGAUGGGAUUAGCUAGUUGGUGGGGUAACGGCUCACCAAGGCGACGAUCCCUAGCUGGUCUGAGAGGAUGACAAGCCACACUGGAACUGAGACACGGUCCAGAGUACUACGGGAGGGAGCAGUGGGGAAGAGUGCACAAUGGGGGCAAGCCUGAUGCAGCCAUGGCGCGUGUAUGAAGAAGGCGUGCGGGGUGUAAAGUACUUUCAGCGGGGAGGCGUUACCCGCAGAAGAAGCACCGGCUAACUCCGUGCCAGCAGCCGCGGUAAUAC
rnacentral:rRNA from 1 species